CCUACGGGAGGCAGCAGUGAGGAAUAUUGGUCAAUGGACGAGAGUCUGAACCAGCCAAGUAGCGUGAAGGAUGACUGCCCUAUGGGUUGUAAACUUCUUUUAUAUGGGAAUAAAACGUUCCACGUGUGGGAUUUUGUAUGUACCAUAUGAAUAAGGAUCGGCUAACUCCGUGCCAGCAGCCGCGGUAAUACGGAGGAUCCGAGCGUUCUCCGGAUUUAUUGGGGUUAAAGGGAGCGUAGGUGGAUUGUUAAGUCAGUUGUGAAAGUUUGCGGCUCAACCGUAAAAUUGCAGUUGAAACUGGCAGUCUUGAGUACAGUAGAGGUGGGCGGAAUUCGUGGUGUAGCGGUGAAAUGCUUAGAUAUCACGAAGAACUCCGAUUGCGAAGGCAGUUCACUGGACUGCAACUGACACUGAGGCUCGAAAGUGUGGGUAUCAAACAGGAUUAGAUACCCCAGUAGUC
rnacentral:rRNA from 1 species